UACGUAGGGUGCAAGCGUUGUCCGGAAUUAUUGGGCGUAAAGAGCUCGUAGGCGGUCAGUCGCGUCUGCUGUGAAAACUCGGGGCUUAACCCCGGGCCUGCAGUGGGUACGGGCUGACUAGAGUGCGGUAGGGGAGACUGGAAUUCCUGGUGUAGCGGUGAAAUGCGCAGAUAUCAGGAGGAACACCGAUGGCGAAGGCAGGUCUCUGGGCAUUAACUGACGCUGAGGAGCGAAAGCAUGGGGAGCGAACAGG
rnacentral:rRNA from 1 species